AUCGUGGGGAGAAGCAACGCAAGACCCCGGAAGCAUGCCAACGUGUAAAACCCCAAGUCAAAGGUCAAACAGUGCACUCGAUCUCUCAAGUCACCUGCUUGGCCCUCUACUAAAAAGGGAGAUGCCAUGUGCUGGCCCAGCACUCCAACAGGGGCCUGACCUCUAGGAACGGGACACUGGAGGAAGCCUAGACAUUUGAACAAAUCAAGUCAUCCAGAUCCACGGUCAGCUCCUGCCCCGACUUGGCCUUCCUCCUGCUUUGCUGGCCCACGGACCUCGGGAACCUGCCCUGGCUGUGGGUGACCUGCAGCCUAUCUCCCAGGACUAUGGAAGCCCCAUGCAGGAACAUGGUUCUGAGACUUUGGGGGUUAUACCCUAAGCUUAGAGAACUGGAAAAGCCCCUGAAGUCCCGAGACCACAACCCUCCACCUUCUAAAGAUAAGACAAGUCACUGAAGGUCUCAGAACUGUGGCCCAUUCACCCCUUCCCUCAGGACAAGAGUGUGGCCAAGCAUCAAUCUCACCCCCAGAGACCAGACGGUGUCCAGGUCUUGGGCAGACGAAACCUGCUCCUUGGGGAUGGUCUUCCUGGCUGUGCUUCCAAAGGGCUGGCCUGCAAUCAGCUGGUUUUCACUUGAUCCUUUCGGGGUUUGCAUUAUAUCUGACUGAAGGAAUGAACUGGGAGAGAACAGCAGAGCCGCAGCGGAAUGUGGAAAGGCCCACGUCGAGACUGUUCCCAUUCUGAUUUAAAAGCCUGAUGAAGGAACAGCUGAACUCACAGAAACAGCAGGUGAAAAGUCCAAGUCAAGGAAUAGAAUUAGUCAGUUCGUGGUGGAGUUGCAUUGAUGAUUCCAGAGCGGUUCCUGCUCCUCCUCUUUAAGCCAGUGUGUUUUACCAAAGAUUUUCGGGACAAAGAAAAAGCCAGGCAGUAGGUGCCAAAUACAGUGACUCAUCAGAUGACCCUGCUGUUUAUCUCCAACAUUUUCAUGAACAGCUUUCAAGGAAUAAAGGAAGGAAAUGUUCUGUGUCCAUAAAGUAGGAUUGGAAACAGUUGACUUGUAUGAACAUGGCCAACACAAAAUAGUCCAGGGGGAUGUGGAAUAUUUGAGGAGAACAACAUUAGACUGAGAAAUUAUGACAGUCAGGAAAAGAAAAAUUGUACCAAAUAUCAAAGAACAUGAGUUUUUUUCAACAGAAAACUAAAGCGAUAGAUGGAACCUGUGAGUUCACUUCUAAAGGAGCAUUCAAAAAAAAAUGAAACCUAGGAAAA
rnacentral:antisense_RNA from 1 species